rnacentral:rRNA from 1 species
AACGAACGCUGGCGGCAGGCUUAACACAUGCAAGUCGAGCGCAUCCUUCGGGGUGAGCGGCGGACGGGUGAGUAACGCGUGGGAACGUGCCCUCUUCUACGGAAUAGCCCAGGGAAACUUGGAUUAAUGCCGUAUACGCCCUUCGGGGGAAAGAUUUAUCGGAGGAGGAUCGGCCCGCGUUGGAUUAGGUAGUUGGUGAGGUAACGGCUCACCAAGCCGACGAUCCAUAGCUGGUUUGAGAGGAUGAUCAGCCACACUGGGACUGAGACACGGCCCAGACUCCUACGGGAGGCAGCAGUGGGGAAUCUUGGACAAUGGGGGAAACCCUGAUCCAGCCAUGCCGCGUGAUCGAUGAAGGCCUUAGGGUUGUAAAGAUCUUUCAGCUGGGAAGAUAAUGACUGUACCAGCAGAAGAAGCCCCGGCUAACUCCGUGCCAGCCGCCGCCGUAAAAC